rnacentral:rRNA from 1 species
AGACGUCUACAUUAGAUACCCCCGUAGUCCUAGCCGUAAACGAUACUCGCUAGGUGUCGGCCACGGUGCGACCGUUGUCGGUGCCGUAGGGAAGCCGUGAAGCGAGCCACCUGGGAAGUACGGCCGCAAGGCUGAAACUUAAAGGAAUUGGCGGGGGAGCACCACAACGGGUGGAGCUUGCGGUUUAAUUGGAUUCAACGCCGGAAAUCUUACCGGGACCGACAGCAACAUGAAGGCCAGGCUGAAGACUUUGCCGGAUUAGCUG